UACGUAGGGUGCGAGCGUUAAUCGGAAUUACUGGGCGUAAAGCGUGCGCAGGCGGUUCGUUAAGUCAGAUGUGAAAGCCCCGGGCUCAACCUGGGAACUGCAUUUGAGACUGGCGAGCUGGAGUCUGGCAGAGGGGGGUGGAAUUCCACGUGUAGCAGUGAAAUGCGUAGAGAUGUGGAGGAACACCGAUGGCGAAGGCAGCCCCCUGGGCUGAGACUGACGCUCAGGCACGAAAGCGUGGGGAGCAAACAGG
rnacentral:rRNA from 1 species